UACGUAGGGGGCGAGCGUUGUCCGGAGUUACUGGGCGUAAAGGGCGUGCAGGCGGUGGUGCGCGUUUUGUGUGGCAGCGCAAGGCUUAACUUUGCGAGGAUACGAAAGACGGCAGCACUUGAGAGCGCGAGAGGGACACGGAAUUCCGGGUGGAGUGGUGAAAUGCGCAGAUAUCGGGAGGAACACCUAUGGCGAAGGCAGCUCGCUGGGACGUUACUGACGCUGAGACGCGAAAGCGUGGGGAGCAAACAGG
rnacentral:rRNA from 1 species